GGUUAAGCGACUAAGCGUACACGGUGGAUGCCCUGGCAGUCAGAGGCGAUGAAGGACGUGCUAAUCUGCGAUAAGCGUCGGUAAGGUGAUAUGAACCGUUAUAACCGGCGAUUUCCGAAUGGGGAAACCCAGUGUGUUUCGACACACUAUCAUUAACUGAAUCCAUAGGUUAAUGAGGCGAACCGGGGGAACUGAAACAUCUAAGUACCCCGAGGAAAAGAAAUCAACCGAGAUUCCCCCAGUAGCGGCGAGCGAACGGGGAGCAGCCCAGAGCCUGAAUCAGUGUGUGUGUUAGUGGAAGCGUCUGGAAAGGCGCGCGAUACAGGGUGACAGCCCCGUACACAAAAAUGCACAUGCUGUGAGCUCGAUGAGUAGGGCGGGACACGUGGUAUCCUGUCUGAAUAUGGGGGGACCAUCCUCCAAGGCUAAAUACUCCUGACUGACCGAUAGUGAACCAGUACCGUGAGGGAAAGGCGAAAAGAACCCCGGCGAGGGGAGUGAAAAAGAACCUGAAACCGUGUACGUACAAGCAGUGGGAGCACGCUUCGGCGUGUGACUGCGUACCUUUUGUAUAAUGGGUCAGCGACUUAUAUUCUGUAGCAAGGUUAACCGAAUAGGGGAGCCGAAGGGAAACCGAGUCUUAACUGGGCGUUAAGUUGCAGGGUAUAGACCCGAAACCCGGUGAUCUAGCCAUGGGCAGGUUGAAGGUUGGGUAACACUAACUGGAGGACCGAACCGACUAAUGUUGAAAAAUUAGCGGAUGACUUGUGGCUGGGGGUGAAAGGCCAAUCAAACCGGGAGAUAGCUGGUUCUCCCCGAAAGCUAUUUAGGUAGCGCCUCGUGAAUUCAUCUCCGGGGGUAGAGCACUGUUUCGGCAAGGGGGUCAUCCCGACUUACCAACCCGAUGCAAACUGCGAAUACCGGAGAAUGUUAUCACGGGAGACACACGGCGGGUGCUAACGUCCGUCGUGAAGAGGGAAACAACCCAGACCGCCAGCUAAGGUCCCAAAGUCAUGGUUAAGUGGGAAACGAUGUGGGAAGGCCCAGACAGCCAGGAUGUUGGCUUAGAAGCAGCCAUCAUUUAAAGAAAGCGUAAUAGCUCACUGGUCGAGUCGGCCUGCGCGGAAGAUGUAACGGGGCUAAACCAUGCACCGAAGCUGCGGCAGCGACGCUGAUGCGUUGUUGGGUAGGGGAGCGUUCUGUAAGCCUGCGAAGGUGUGCUGUGAGGCAUGCUGGAGGUAUCAGAAGUGCGAAUGCUGACAUAAGUAACGAUAAAGCGGGUGAAAAGCCCGCUCGCCGGAAGACCAAGGGUUCCUGUCCAACGUUAAUCGGGGCAGGGUGAGUCGACCCCUAAGGCGAGGCCGAAAGGCGUAGUCGAUGGGAAACAGGUUAAUAUUCCUGUACUUGGUGUUACUGCGAAGGGGGGACGGAGAAGGCUAUGUUGGCCGGGCGACGGUUGUCCCGGUUUAAGCGUGUAGGCUGGUUUUCCAGGCAAAUCCGGAAAAUCAAGGCUGAGGCGUGAUGACGAGGCACUACGGUGCUGAAGCAACAAAUGCCCUGCUUCCAGGAAAAGCCUCUAAGCAUCAGGUAACAUCAAAUCGUACCCCAAACCGACACAGGUGGUCAGGUAGAGAAUACCAAGGCGCUUGAGAGAACUCGGGUGAAGGAACUAGGCAAAAUGGUGCCGUAACUUCGGGAGAAGGCACGCUGAUAUGUAGGUGAAGUCCCUUGCGGAUGGAGCUGAAAUCAGUCGAAGAUACCAGCUGGCUGCAACUGUUUAUUAAAAACACAGCACUGUGCAAACACGAAAGUGGACGUAUACGGUGUGACGCCUGCCCGGUGCCGGAAGGUUAAUUGAUGGGGUCAGCGCAAGCGAAGCUCUUGAUCGAAGCCCCGGUAAACGGCGGCCGUAACUAUAACGGUCCUAAGGUAGCGAAAUUCCUUGUCGGGUAAGUUCCGACCUGCACGAAUGGCGUAAUGAUGGCCAGGCUGUCUCCACCCGAGACUCAGUGAAAUUGAACUCGCUGUGAAGAUGCAGUGUACCCGCGGCAAGACGGAAAGACCCCGUGAACCUUUACUAUAGCUUGACACUGAACAUUGAGCCUUGAUGUGUAGGAUAGGUGGGAGGCUUUGAAGUGUGGACGCCAGUCUGCAUGGAGCCGACCUUGAAAUACCACCCUUUAAUGUUUGAUGUUCUAACGUUGACCCGUAAUCCGGGUUGCGGACAGUGUCUGGUGGGUAGUUUGACUGGGGCGGUCUCCUCCUAAAGAGUAACGGAGGAGCACGAAGGUUGGCUAAUCCUGGUCGGACAUCAGGAGGUUAGUGCAAUGGCAUAAGCCAGCUUGACUGCGAGCGUGACGGCGCGAGCAGGUGCGAAAGCAGGUCAUAGUGAUCCGGUGGUUCUGAAUGGAAGGGCCAUCGCUCAACGGAUAAAAGGUACUCCGGGGAUAACAGGCUGAUACCGCCCAAGAGUUCAUAUCGACGGCGGUGUUUGGCACCUCGAUGUCGGCUCAUCACAUCCUGGGGCUGAAGUAGGUCCCAAGGGUAUGGCUGUUCGCCAUUUAAAGUGGUACGCGAGCUGGGUUUAGAACGUCGUGAGACAGUUCGGUCCCUAUCUGCCGUGGGCGCUGGAGAACUGAGGGGGGCUGCUCCUAGUACGAGAGGACCGGAGUGGACGCAUCACUGGUGUUCGGGUUGUCAUGCCAAUGGCACUGCCCGGUAGCUAAAUGCGGAAGAGAUAAGUGCUGAAAGCAUCUAAGCACGAAACUUGCCCCGAGAUGAGUUCUCCCUGACCCUUUAAGGGUCCUGAAGGAACGUUGAAGACGACGACGUUGAUAGGCCGGGUGUGUAAGCGCAGCGAUGCGUUGAGCUAACCGGUACUAAUGAACCGUGAGGCUUAACCUU
rnacentral:rRNA from 1 species